rnacentral:rRNA from 1 species
CCUACGGGAGGCAGCAGUGGGGAAUAUUGCACAAUGGGCGCAAGCCUGAUGCAGCCAUGCCGCGUGUGUGAAGAAGGCCUUCGGGUUGUAAAGCACUUUCAGCGGGGAGGAAGGCGUUAAGGUUAAUAACCUUGGCGAUUGACGUUACCCGCAGAAGAAGCACCGGCUAACUCCGUGCCAGCAGCCGCGGUAAUACGGAGGGUGCAAGCGUUAAUCGGAAUUACUGGGCGUAAAGCGCACGCAGGCGGUCUGUCAAGUCGGAUGUGAAAUCCCCGGGCUCAACCUGGGAACUGCAUUCGAAACUGGCAGGCUAGAGUCUUGUAGAGGGGGGUAGAAUUCCAGGUGUAGCGGUGAAAUGCGUAGAGACCUGGAGGAAUACCGGUGGCGAAGGCGGCCCCCUGGACAAAGACUGACGCUCAGGUGCGAAAGCGUGGGGAGCAAACAGGAUUAGAUACCCCAGGAGUC